CACGUAGGGCGCAAGCGUUGUCCGGAAUUAUUGGGCGUAAAGAGCUCGUAGGCGGUCUGUCGCGUCUGCUGUGAAAUCCCGAGGCUCAACCUCGGGCCUGCAGUGGGUACGGGCAGACUGGAGUGCGGUAGGGGAGAAUGGAACUCCUGGUGUAGCGGUGGAAUGCGCAGAUAUCAGGAAGAACACCGAUGGCGAAGGCAGUUCUCUGGGCCGUAACUGACGCUGAGGAGCGAAAGCGUGGGGAGCGAACAGG
rnacentral:rRNA from 1 species